AGUGAACGCUGGCGGUAGGCCUAACACAUGCAAGACGAACGGCAGCACAGUAAGAGCUUGCUCUUACGGGUGGCGAGUGGCGGACGGGUGAGGAAUACAUCGGAAUCUACUUUUUCGUGGGGGAUAACGUAGGGAAACUUACGCUAAUACCGCAUACGACCUACGGGUGAAAGCAGGGGAUCUUCGGACCUUGCGCGAUUGAAUGAGCCGAUGUCGGAUUAGCUAGUUGGCGGGGUAAAGGCCCACCAAGGCGACGAUCCGUAGCUGGUCUGAGAGGAUGAUCAGCCACACUGGAACUGAGGCACGGUCCAGACUCCUACGGGAGGCAGCAGUGGGGAAUAUUGGACAAUGGGCGCAAGCCUGAUCCAGCCAUACCGCGUGGGUGAAGAAGGCCUUCGGGUUGUAAAGCCCUUUUGUUGGGAAAGAAAAGCAGCAGGUUAAUACCCCGCUGUUCUGACGGUACCCAAAGAAUAAGCACCGGCUAACUUCGUG
rnacentral:rRNA from 1 species